rnacentral:rRNA from 1 species
AUGCGCCCCCUCCACCUCAUCCUCUUCCUCCCACUCUUACUCAACCUCCUCCUCUUCACCUCCACCUCCACCACCACCACCGCCGCCGCCUCCACUACCUCCUCGCCCAACCCCGAGGUCGCCUUCCUCUCCUCAUGGCUGGCCGCGUCGCCCUCGCGCCCGCCGGACUGGGCCCCGGCCGCCUCGUCCCCGUGCAAGUGGUCGCACGUCGCCUGCGACGCCGCCGGCAGGGCGGUCGUGUCCGUCACCUUCCAGUCCGUCCACCUCGCCGUGCCGGCCCCGUCCGGCCUCUGCGCCGCGCUGCCGGGGCUCGUUAGCUUUGUUGUGUCGGAUGCCAACCUGACGGGUGGCGUGCCGGAGGACCUCGCGCUGUGCCGCCGCCUCGCCACGCUUGACCUCAGCGGCAACUCCCUCACGGGCCCCGUCCCGGCGUCGCUCGGCAACUUGACGGCGCUGGAGUCGCUGGUGGUCAACACCAACCUGCUCUCCGGCCCCAUCCCGGCGGAGCUUGGCGGGCUCGCGGGGUCGCUGAAGAACCUGCUGCUGUUCGACAACCGCCUCUCCGGCGAGCUUCCCGCGGAGCUCGGCGGGCUGCGGCAGCUCGAGUCCCUCCGCGCCGGUGGCAACCACGACCUCUCCGGCCCGAUCCCCGACUCAUUCUCCAAGCUGUCCAGCCUUGAGGUGCUCGGCCUCGCGGAUACAAAGAUCUCCGGCCAGCUCCCGCCGUCGAUCGGCAACCUCAAGAGCCUCCAGACGCUGUCGAUAUACACCACCAUGCUCUCCGGCUCCAUCCCGCCGGAGCUCGCGCUGUGCGCCAACCUCACCGACGUGUACCUCUACGAGAACGCGCUCUCCGGCGCGCUCCCCCCGGAGCUCGGCGCGCUCCAGAGCCUCCAGAAGCUGCUGCUGUGGCAGAACGCGCUCACCGGCCCCAUCCCGGAGAGCUUCGGCAACCUCACGUCGCUCGUCUCGCUUGACCUCUCCAUCAACUCCAUCUCCGGCGUCAUCCCGGCGUCGCUUGGCCGGCUACCGGCGCUGCAGGACCUCAUGCUCAGCGACAACAACCUCACCGGCACCAUCCCCGUGCAGCUCGCCAACGCGACGGCGCUCGUGCAGCUUCAGCUCGACACCAACGAGAUCUCCAGCCUCAUCCCGACGGAGCUCGGCCGGAGCCUGACCAACCUGCAGGUGCUGUUCGCGUGGCAGAACCGCCUCGAGGGCGCCAUCCCGGCCACCCUUGCGUCGAUGGCGAGCCUCCAGGCGCUCGACCUCUCGCACAACCGAUUCACCGGCGCCGUGCCGCCGGGGCUCUUCUUGCUGCGCAACCUCACCAAGCUGCUAAUCUUGUCCAACGAUAUCUCCGGCGUGAUACCGCCGGAGAUCGGGAAGGCAGCGAGCCUCGUGCGGCUCAGGCUCGGUGGCAACCGCAUCACCGGGGAGAUUCCCGCGGCCGUGGGAGGGAUGAAGAGCAUCGUCUUCCUCGACCUUGGCAGCAACCGCCUCACCGGCACCGUUCCCGCCCAGCUCGGCGACUGCUCGCAGCUCCAGAUGCUCGACCUCAGCAACAACACGCUCACUGGAGCCUUGCCGGAUUCGCUCGCCGGCGUGCGCGGCCUGCAGGAGCUCGACGUCUCACACAACCAGCUCACCGGCCCCGUGCCAGAAUCCUUGGGAAGGCUGGCGGUGCUGAGCCGUCUCGUCCUCGCCGGCAACGCGCUGUCCGGGACGAUACCGGCGGCGCUCGGGCGGUGCCGCGCGCUCGAGCUGCUCGACCUCAGCGACAACCGCCUCUCCGGCGGCAUCCCCGACGAGCUCUGCAGCCUCGCCGGCCUCGACAUCGCCCUUAACCUCAGCCGCAAUGGUCUCACCGGCGCGAUCCCGGCGAGGAUAUCACAACUGAGCAAGCUGUCUGUGCUCGACCUGUCAUACAACGCGUUCGCCGGCAGCCUCACGCCGCUCGCCGGGCUCGACAACCUCGUCACCCUCAAUGUGUCGCAGAACAACUUCUCCGGGUACCUCCCGGACACGAAGCUCUUCCGGCAGCUCUCGGCGUCCAGCCUCGCCGGGAACUCGGGGCUGUGCACCAAAGGCGGCGACGUGUGUUUCGUUGGCGUGGACGCCGACGGCCGGCCGAUGUCGGUGACCGCUAGCGACGAUGCGCAGCGCGCGCACCGGCUCAAGCUCGCCAUCGCGCUGCUGGUGACCGCGACGGUGGCCAUGGUGCUCGGGAUGAUCGGCAUACUCAGAGCGCGCGGGGUGGGCGUGAAGGGCGGAGGUGGGGGCGGGAGCAGCGACUCGGAGGCCGGCGGCGGGGAGCUGGGGUGGCCGUGGCAGUUCACGCCGUUCCAGAAGGUGAGCUUCUCGGUGGACCAGGUGGUGCGGAGCCUGGUCGACGCCAACAUCAUCGGCAAGGGCGUCUCCGGCGUGGUGUACCGCGUGAGCCUGGACUCCGGCGAGACCAUCGCCGUGAAGAAGCUGUGGCCGGCCACGACGGCCGCGGCCGCCGCGUUCAAGGACGCCGGCCGGGACUCGUUCUCGGCGGAGGUGCGCACGCUGGGCUCCAUCCGGCACAAGAACAUCGUGAGGUUCCUCGGCUGCUGCUGGAACAAGAGCACGCGGCUGCUCAUGUACGACUACAUGGCCAACGGCAGCCUCGGCGCCGUGCUCCACGAGCGCGGCGGCGGCGCGCAGCUCGAGUGGGACGUCCGGUACCGGAUCGUGCUCGGGUCGGCACAGGGUCUUGCGUACCUUCACCAUGGCUGCUCGCCGCCGAUCGUCCACCGUGACAUCAAGGCCAACAACAUCCUCAUCGGGCUCGAUUUCGAGGCCUACAUCGCCGACUUCGGCCUCGCCAAGCUCGUCGACGAGGGCGCCGACUUCGGCCGCUCCUCCAACACCGUCGCCGGCUCCUACGGCUACAUCGCCCCUGAGUACGGGUACAUGCUCAAGAUCACCGAGAAGAGCGACGUGUACAGCUAUGGGGUGGUGGUGCUGGAGGUGCUGACGGGGAAGCAGCCCAUCGACCCGACAAUUCCGGACGGGCAACACGUGGUGGACUGGGUGCGGCGACACAAGGGUGGCGCCGGCGUGCUGGACCCGGCGCUGCAGGGGCGGUCUGACACGGAGGUGGAGGAGAUGCUGCAGGUCAUGGGCGUCGCCUUGCUCUGCGUCAGCCCCGUCCCCGACGAGCGGCCGGCCAUGAAGGACGUCGCGGCCAUGCUCAAGGAGAUCCGGCUCGAGCGCGAGGAGUACGCCAAGGUCGACGUCCUGCUCAAGGGCGGUGGUGGCGGCUGCGGGUCGCCGGCCAAGGAUGCCACCUCGACAACAAUGCCAUUGGCGACGACAAAGGCCACCACAUCGACGUCGAGCACGCCGCCAUGCCGGCAGGGCCCCGGGAGCAGCGCCUGCAACAGCAACAGCAGCAGCUUCUCUGCCGUCUACUCUUCAUCGAAGGCCAAAUCGCCAUUCGAUUGA